GACUCGUCUGACAAGCCGGACUGUUUUUUUAAAGGAUGAGAGCGAGUGUUCCUUCUCAGCCCCAUUCCUCCACAGAAACCGUCUGCUUGCGCGUGAGACGCACGCUUCUCUCGGUCAAAGGAUCAGUCGAAACAGAUCGAGUAAAAGGGACAUUUUAUUAUUUAUGAUGUUUGUUUUUUACCUGGAUGCAGAAUGAGAGGCUGAAGAGGAGAAGUAACUCACUCGAGUAACGAGUUUUUUGUCGUUUGUGUGGAUAUUAAAACACGGGAUGGAUCAGGAGGAGACAAUUGACUUUAAGACCCUUAGGGCCAAGUUCCAGGAUGAAGAACUCCUCCUGAAGCAACCAAAGAUAAAACCUGCUCUCCCAGAGAAACCAAAGGUUGUCCCUCCACCCCAGAGUCCCACUCAUUACCUCCCUGCAGGAGCCCGCCCCUCCCUGCUCACCUCCAUUAACCAGACUUUGGAAGGAAAGACAGCUGUUGCCCCAAGAGUCGUCUUCAAGGAUGAGAAGAAGGAGAGCAAAAAGCCUCUCAUUCAGAGUAACUCUAAGAGUAAAGACAAGAGUGAGGGGAAGCUGAAAGGAAGCAAAGACAAGGCAACAAAAGGAAGCAAGGAGAAGCUUGAUGAAGAUUCAUCAGAGCAGAAGCAGAAGAAGGUGAACGGUAAGGACAAGAAGCCACUGCUCCCCUCUUCAACCCAGAAGGAGAGUACAACAGAGCUGGUCCCAGCCACGCCUCCUCCUAAAGCCACAACAAAGAAGAAGGGUAUUCUUGGUUUCAAAAAGUCUGCAAAAAGAGAAUCAAUGGAAGUCCCGGCUGAGCCAAUCCUGGACACCACAAGUUCAGAUCUGCCUGGACCGGUUCCACUCGUCCCAUUGCCAUCUGACUCUGUCAGUGCACCACCAGAACCUGAAAUCUCAGCACCAAAGGCCCUUUUACCAGACAACCCCACCCUACCUGAGCCCAUUGUUGCAGUGGAAAUCCCCCCACCAUCUACUGUCUCUGAAUCUCCUGAUUUCUCCCCUCCUCCUCCCAUUAGUCCUGACAUCCCUGCACUUGAAUUCCCAGCCCCUGAGAGUGAACCCCCUGUUCAGAUAGACGAUCCUAUCUUGCCUGUUUCCAGACCAGCCAGCCAAAAUGAAAAUCUUCCCAGUCCACCCAGCCCUGCUCCAACCCCUCCACUGUGCCCUCCUGAGCCCGAGGUGGCAGCUGAGUCUGACAUUGAGGCUGUAAAUAUAGCUGCGGUGGAGACACCUCCUGCUACUGACCCUGCAACUUCUCCACCUUCUCCCAAAGUGGAGCGUCCAAUCUCAGCACUCUCAGCCUUGGAGAGGGCGGAGGACAUGAGUGCUGGAAAGAGAACCACCCCAGCUGACCAGAGGAUUUUAAGUGCUCUGGAGAAGGCUCGCAGGAAGAGUAACAGCCCUUUGUCAAACCCCACCCGAACCUACUCCAUCACCCCUCCACCUGAGGAACUCCCACCACCUCCAAGCCCCACCCGUGCUCUUCCAGAACUUCCGCCCAUUGAUUAUGAAGAUCGAGCAGGAAACGCCCUCCCACUGAAACCAGCACAAGUUAACGGCAUCAAGCACCGUGAAGCCUCUCCAGUAUUGGAAGGUAUUACUGAGGAGGGGCAUGAUGCCAUCCCAGAGCUGCUGGUAGUUCCCCCUCCUCCACCCAGGAAGGUCCUUGCAGACAUGGAGUCUCUGGGUCCUGUUCCAGAGAAGCCUGACAGACCUCCCUAUGUCGACCUGAGCGAGUUCAUCCCUCCGCCUCCUCCUCCUGUGGAAAAUAAUGAGAUUCCAGCUCCUCCUGAGUUUUCAGAGACUGACACCACAGAUGUCCCAGAGUUUGACGAUGUGACUUCAGAGGCUCACUCUCCAGAUCUGACAGCGUCAGACUGGGGGAACGAGGAGCACACAGGUCCAGAUGUGACAGACGGGCAGACCCUGCCAGAGGUUUACAGUAACGGGAUAACCACUCCAGAAGCGGAGGUCCACACUGAGCCAACAAUAGGAGAUGAAUACCAGGAUAAUCCACUACCAGAAUCUUCCCUCUCUACUUCUCAGGACUCAACACCAGUGAAAGAGUCUCGUAAAGAACGUGUCAACAGCAUCUAUGAAAGCACAGAAGACGUGUACGAGGACGUCAACAUGUCUGCCGGCAAAAAGAAAGGAAAGGCUGACGGUGGCAAGAAACGCAAAGGACCGCCAAAGAAUCCGUAUGCUGAGACCACACCAGAAACAAAUCAAGAGAAAAGCAGGACAGGCAGGUUCGGCAGGAGUGACAAGAAAGCUGCUGCAGAGGGGCCGGAUGAGAAGGAGCUGAAAAAGAAAGAGAAGCAGAGGCUGGAAAAGGAGAAGAAGGAGCUGAAGGAGAGACAGGAGCGGGAAAAGAAAGAGCAGAAGGAGAGGGAGAAGAAGGAGAAUGAGCUGAAGAAGAAAUUCAAAGUGAGUGAUGCUAUUUUGUGACAGAGCAGGUGAGGUAUGUCAGGUUAAGGAAUGAGCG
rnacentral:lncRNA from 1 species